AUUGAACGCUGGCGGCAGGCCUAACACAUGCAAGUCGAACGAAUGGCGGACUGGUGAGUGAUUUCUGGGCACCUGCCUGAUGGAGGGGGAUAACGGCUGGAAAAGGUAGCUAAUACCGCAUACCAUGCGAUGUGCCCAGAUGGGAUUAGAUGGUUGGGGUGGUAACGGCUCACCCAGGCGACGAUCCCUAGCUGGUCUGAGAGGAUGACCAGCCACACUGGAACUGAGACACGGUCCAGACUCCCACGGGAGGCAGCAGUGGGGAAUAUUGGACAAUGGGCGAAAGUCUGAGCCAGCAACGCCGCGUGUGUGAAGAAGGCCUUCGGGUUGUAAAGUACUUUCAGCGGGGAGGCGUUACCCGAAGAAGAAGCACCGGCUAACUCCGUGCCAGCAGCCGCGGUAAUAC
rnacentral:rRNA from 1 species